rnacentral:lncRNA from 1 species
GGGGGAGCCACCGCCGCCGCCGGAGCCCGACGGAUCAGCUGGGAUCCGGGCGUGCCACUUUGUUCAGAGCCUCGGAGGCUGGGCGGUGCGUGCUCCUCCCGAGUUCCUCGUGCGAGCCGCCUCUCAGCCCUCCAUCUUCCCAGGACUUUUACGAGAGCUAGCCUGCGCUCCUGGCUGAGGAAGGAGAGCGGGUUUCAGAGUCCUGUGGGGGAGCUUUGCCUCCACCCCCCAGCUGAGACAAAUGAUGAGCCUAGGCUAUGUCUCUUGGGAGAGCUUCGCCUUCACUGCUGGCCCAAUAGGAGUGAGCCAUCAAAUAUGCUCAGUACGAACUGGAAGAGCAGCACUGCCUGCGCAGCCAGGGCUCCUGACAGCAGUGGCUGAGGAACAGGGAACCUCAAAAUAUCCUAGAUAUUUGAGGAUAUGAGAAGUUUUGGUCAUCAGUGAAAAGCCUUUGACUUGCCAGGAAAAAGGACAUGGGACCUCUUCCUCCUGGGUUGGCGUGGAGAAACUCUCGGAACCAAGGGAGAAGAAGGGCAGCCAAGCAUGCUCUGGCCCUUCUUGGGAAACUAAAAAUAAAUGAACUAAAAUGAAAAA